GGUUGUGUAGCUCAAAUGGACAGAGCAUCGCUUCUUCCUUGCUGAUUUCAACUGAAACAGCUUGUCUCUAUUCAGCGGAGGGUGCAGGUUCAAUUCCUGCCACAACUU